UCUCCUUCUCAGUUUGCCUUUUGGCUUAGAUCAAGUGUAGUAUCUGUUCUUUCUAGUUUAAUCGCUAGAACUUUCCUACGGGAAUUCACGAUUAUUCUUAUUUUUGCAACUGGUCAAUGGCUCACUGGGCUUGCCCAUAGUCACUGGCACUGUGUCGUUCCUCUCACACUACCUGGAAUGUACGCGACCCUUU
rnacentral:snRNA from 18 species